ACUUUACCAUGCGGGCAACCGUGAUAAGGAAACCCCGAGUGCCAGCACAGGCUGGCUGUCCGCCAGUUUAAAUAACUGGUGAAGAAAGGGCCGGGCAAGACCGGUGCCAGCCGCCGCGGUAAUACCGGCGGCUCGAGUGGUGGCCGCUAUUACUGGGCUUAAAGGGUCCGUAGCUUGAUAACUGGGUCCCUUGAGAAAUCCGCCAGCUUAACUGGCGGGCGUUCAGGGGAAACUUGUUUUCUAGGGACCGGGAGAGGUGAGGGGUACUGCCGGGGUAGGAGUGAAAUCCUGUAAUCCCGGUGGGACCACCUAUGGCGAAGGCAUCUCACCAGAACGGGUCCGACAGUGAGGGACGAAAGCUAGGGGCACGAACCGG
rnacentral:rRNA from 1 species